AUUUGGGUCAAAAGUACAAUUAUACUAUAUUUGAUAGCCAUAAAAGAUAAAAUCAUAAAAUCAUAAUCAUCUUUUAGUUAUCUUGCUGAUUAUUCGUUAAAAAAAUCAAUGGUUUUAUUUGGAGGGGUUCAUUGUAUUUAACCUACGAUUCUAAUUUAGAUACAUACAUUUUUCGGUAAUUAUUUUGAUCGGUCAGUCCAAAUGCCCACGCCACCGUUCGCCGCCCACGCCACCGUCGCCGCCACCGACUUGACCAAAGCCACACCUCCGUCUUAUUAUUAUACUGUGGACAAUGCUGAGUUGGUGAUUUCAAAAUUUCCAGAUUGUGAGACAUGGAAGUAAUAAUUUAGGCCUAUUAGCAGUGGAUAUUGGGCUUACGUACUCUUUCGAAAAUCCAAGAAUGGCUAAUGAAGAGUCCACAAAACAUAGUCAGGCUGGAAGAGCAAUCAAGACCAAGAUGAAAUUUUGGAAAUUUCCAAAGAGCAAUCAAUACCAAGAAUGGCGGUCCGUUUUCAGUAUUGCCAAAAUAUGUUUGGCCUAUUAGCAGUGGGUAUUGGGCCUAGAUACUCUUUCAGAAAUCCAAGAAAUGGAUCGUAGAAGUUCAAAAACGUCGUAAGAGUUAUCGAUGAAGAAAUAUCCUAUGCUGGAAAUAUGCAGAGGACCGAGAUCGAUUUUAAGAGGGAAACAAGCGACUCAAACAACUGUCAUCAGUGCCACAAUAAGGACAAAGAAAAUGUCCCAGAAGAAGUGUGUCAUCAAUUGGUGCAAGUAAUACUUAAGAAGUCUGUUUGUACCGCCUUUUGAGCAUGGGAAUGUACGCCAGAAUCCAGCUCAGCCAGGGGAGAAACCUAGUAUUUCACAAAUGAGGAGGGAGUUGGAGCGGAUGAAAUUGGCUCUCGAAACGAAAGCCCACCUUUUUCAACCCCAUAUGAAAGACUAACUCUUAAAAGAGAUUUUGCUCCUCACUGACAAAAUAAAAUCCAGUGCUGGCGGCUCUUCUUCGUCUUAGUGACAAAAUAAACGAGCGGCUAAGGAGGCAUUCAAAUGCUUGUCUUUCAAGCUAUACACACAUCAAGCUGGAUACCUCAACAUGCCAGCGAAAACACCCAAGAAGUCGUUGAAGCCAAACUUGAGGCCAAAGAUAUGCUUUGGUUAUGGAGUUGACGAGGACCUUGGCUUCUGUUCUGCAACCAAGCUUCAAUAUGCUCUUUCAGAUAUGGUACAUUUGCACCAUCUAUACUCAUCGGAAUUUUCAUCAGAAUUCUCCGCAGAUGAAAAGGAGUGUGUUGCAGGUGAUUAAAUUUACUCUUGAAAGAAAACGGAGAAUGUUUUCAACCGCAUAUGAAAGACUAUCUUUUAAAAUAGAUUCCACGCCUCGCUAACAAAAUAAACUCCAUUUGCAGAGUCGUAUUCGUCUUAGUGACAACAUGAAAGAAGGAAUUUGCAUUUAUAUUAUUUUUCGUGCAAUGGAUUAUCUACUGAUGAGUUGAUGUAUUUGUAUAUAUUUUUGGGUAAAAUAUACUUUACCCCGUGUAAUAAGCUCAAUCGAGAGUCGUAUUCGACAUAGUGACAACAUGAAAGAAGGAAUUUGUAUUUAUAUGUUUUUUUUUCUAAUGAAUUAUUUACUGAUGAGUUGAUUUAUUUCAAUUUGA